AUUGAACGCUGGCGGCAUGCUUUACACAUGCAAGUCGAACGGUAACAGGUCUUCGGAUGCUGACGAGUGGCGAACGGGUGAGUAAUGCAUCGGAACGUGCCCAGUCGUGGGGGAUAACGCAGCGAAAGCUGUGCUAAUACCGCAUACGAUCUAUGGAUGAAAGCGGGGGAUCGCAAGACCUCGCGCGAUUGGAGCGGCCGAUGUCAGAUUAGCUAGUUGGUGGGGUAAAGGCCCACCAAGGCGACGAUCUGUAGCUGGUCUGAGAGGACGACCAGCCACACUGGGACUGAGACACGGCCCAGACUCCUACGGGAGGCAGCAGUGGGGAAUUUUGGACAAUGGGGGCAACCCUGAUCCAGCAAUGCCGCGUGAGUGAAGAAGGCCUUCGGGUUGUAAAGCUCUUUUGUCAGGGAAGAAACGGUGAGUCCUAAUACGGCUUGCUAAUGACGGUACCUGAAGAAUAAGCACCGGCUAACUACGUG
rnacentral:rRNA from 1 species